GCCUGAAACUGUUCUUUGACCAGAUAAUGGUUCAAAGUUAGAAAUCUAACAUUAGAAGAGUGGUAUCUCACUGAUAGCUCCAGUAUUCCCGCAAGAAUACUUUCAACGCCUCCCACCUAUACUGCGCGACUAAAGUCCAAUUUCAAUUUCAGGUUACAGUAAAGCUUCAUAGGGUCUUUCUGUCCUGGUGCAGGUAGUCCGCAUCUUCACAGACAAGUCUAUUUCACCGAGCCCCUCUCCGAGACAGUAUCCAAAUCAUUACGCCUUUCGUGCGGGUCGGAACUUACCCGACAAGGAAUUUCGCUACCUUAGGACCGUUAUAGUUACGGCCGCCGUUCACCAGGGCUUCAGUCAUCAGCUUCGCAAAUGCUAACCAACUUCUUUAACCUUCUGGCACUGGGCAGGCGUCAGCCCCCAUACAUCGUCUUACGACUUAGCGGAGACCUGUGUUUUUGAUAAACAGUUGCUUGGAUCUUGUUAUUGCAGCCUUACGAAUAAGGCACUCCUUCUCCCGAAGUUACGGAGUUAUUUUGCCGAGUUCCUUAGAGAGAGUUAUCUCGCGCCCCUUAGUAUACUCUACCUACCCACCUGUGUCGGUUAUGGUACAGGCAUUUUUUAUUUAUGACAGUGCAAGCUUUUCUUGGAAGUAUGACAUACACUACUUCGACGCCUUAGCGUCUCGUACUCACGUCUCAACUCAAAGCGUUUUCGCCGCUUCUCAACAUCUUGAACGUUUAAACCGGUAACCAAUAUCCGGCUAGCUUAGCCUUCUCCGUCCCUCGUUGUCAAUAAAAAAUGGUACGGGAAUAUUAACCCGUUGUCCAUCGACUACGCUUUUCAGCCUCGCCUUAGGUCCUGACUUACCCUCCGCGGACGAGCCUUCCGGAGGAAACCUUGGGUUUUCGGGGUAUAGGAUUCUCACCUAUAUUUUCGUUACUCAAGCCGACAUUCUCACUUCUGCUUCGUCCAUAUCCGCUUACGCUAAUACUUCGACCUACAACAGAACGCUCCCCUACCGAUAUAUUUUUAUAUAUCGCACAGUUUCGGCAAAUUACUUAGUCCCGUUCAUUUUCGGCGCAGGUUUACUCGAUCAGUGAGCUAUUACGCACUCUUUAAAGGAUUGCUGCUUCUAAGCAAACCUCCUGAUUGUUUAUGCACUCCCACCUCCUUUAUCACUUAGUAAUUAUUUAAGGGCCUUAACUGGUGCUCUGGGCUGUUUCCCUCUUGACAAUGGAGCUUAUCCCCCACAGUCUUACUGGUAGACUGUACACUUAGUAUUCUUAGUUUGCAACGAUUUGGUACCGAAUUACCAGCCCGCAUACGUAACAGUGCUUUACCCCUAAGCUAUAACAUCUACCGCUGCGCCAAAACGCAUUUCGGGGAGAACCAGCUAGCUCCGAGUUCGAUUGGCAUUUCACCCCUAACCACAAUUCAUCCGCUGAUUUUUCAACAUCAGUCGGUUCGGUCCUCCACUUAGUAUUACCUAAGCUUCAACCUGACCAUGGUUAGAUCACCCGGGUUCGGGUCCAUAACUAGUGACAAACGCCCUAUUCAGGCUCGCUUUCACUGUGGCUCCAGCAUUCACUGCCUUAACCUGCCACUACCUAUGAGUCGCCGGCUCAUUCUUCAACAGGCACGCAGGCAGACGUUUUAGUCGUCCUUCUACUGCUUGUAAGUUUACGGUUUCAUGUUCUUUUCACUCCCCUCCCGGGGUUCUUUUCACCUUUCCCUCACGGUACUGUUUCACUAUCGGUCAUUCAGGAAUAUUUAGCCUUACGAGGUGGUCCUCGCAGAUUCACACGGAAUUUCACGUGCUCCAUGCUACUUGGGAUUCAAUUUGAUUGUUUCAAUUUUCGAAUACGAGACUAUCACUCUCUAUGGUCAAGUAUUCCAAACUUGUUCUUCUAAUUGUCACAGUAUCAUUUGUAAUUGUCCCACUACCCUCAAUUAUGAAUUGAGUUUAGGCUGUUCCCGUUUCGCUCGCCGCUACUCAGGGAAUCGUUUUUACUUUCUCUUCCUCCAGGUACUAAGAUGUUUCAGUUCCCUAGGUUCGCUCUUACUUAUCUAUGAAUUCAAUAAGCAGUUAUAUUAAAGUUUCCUCAUUCGGAGACCUCCGGAUCGUAGCUUGUUUCCAGCUCCCCGAAGCGUAUCGUCGGUAACCACGUCCUUCAUCGCUUCUGAAUGCCAAGGUAUCCCCCAUAAACUCUUAGUUCCUUGAAUUUAACACAGAAACUCUUUAGAGUUAAAAUACAUUUACAUACCCUCAAACAAUUUGUUUGAAGUAAUUUUUAAUUUAUUGUGGAGGUAAGCGGAGUCGAACCGCUGACAACCGCCGUGCAAAGGCGGUGCUCUACCAACUGAGCUAUACCCCCGCUGGGCCAUUCUGGAUUUGAACCAGAGACCUCACCCUUAUCAGGGGUGCGCUCUAACCAACUGAGCUAAUAGCCCUUUGAAUUUUUAGAUUCAAAGAUUUUUUAUUUUAAUCGACCAAGACUUUAAAAUUUUAAAUUUUAAAAGGAGGUGAUCCAACCGCACCUUCCAGUACGGUUACCUUGUUACGACUUCACCCCAGUCACCAAUUCUACCUUAGGCAUCCUCCUCCAAAUGGUUAGAGUAACGACUUCGGGUAUAACCAGCUUCCAUGGUGUGACGGGCGGUGUGUACAAGGCCCGGGAACGAAUUCACCGCUGUAUAGCUGACCAGCGAUUACUAGCGAUUCCACCUUCAUGUAGGCGAGUUGCAGCCUACAAUCCGAACUUAGAACGAGUUUAUAGAUUAGCUUACCCUCGCAGGUUUGCAUCUCAUUGUCUCGCCCAAUGUAGCACGUGUGUAGCCCAGGGUGUAAGGGGCAUGCUGACUUGACGUCAUCCCCGCC
rnacentral:rRNA from 1 species